rnacentral:rRNA from 1 species
GAUGAACGCUGGCGGCGUGCCUAAUACAUGCAAGUCGAGCGAACAGAUGGGGAGCUUGCUCCGCUGACGAUGGGGGCGGGGGAGGGGGGCACGCGUGUAUACCGUCCUUAUAAGGCUGAGAAAACUUCGAGAAAGCGGAGAUAAUACGGGAUAAUCUAUUGCACCACGUGGUUCGCUAGUGAAUGUAGGUUUUGCUGUCAGUUAUAGCGGGCUCCGCGCCGCAUUGGCUAGUGGGUAAGGUAACGGCUUACGAGGGCAAGGAUGCGUGGCCGAUCUGAGAGGGCGAUCGGCCACACUAGAACUGAGACACGGUCCAGACGCCUACGGGAGGCAGCAGUCGGCAAUCGCCCGCAAUGGGCGAAAGCUUGACGUAGCAACGCCGCGAGAGUGACGAAGGUCCUCGGAGCGUAAAGCUGGGUUACUAGGGAAGAACAAAUUUGUAAGUAAAGAGGCACGCUGUGACGGUACCUAAUAAGAAAGCAACGGCUAACUACGUG